GUAGGGUGAGCACAGACUAUGCUGCAGCUUCAAGAACGGGAGCUCAAGGCUGUAGCAGUGGGAGAAAGCAGCAGAGCUGGGAACAGCACGUGGAUGUCCUGAGUCAACCCAAGGAAAUCCAGACAGACACAGCCAUACAACCAUCAGCACAGUGACACAGGCAUAUGUGAAGUUGAAAUUCACGCUGCAGCAUCCAGACGGUGCCUCAAGCUGGCUGCACAUUCCCAGAAAGGAAGAACCCCCCCUCCAGCCUACCUGCAGAAUGACCUUUCUCCUGACGCCGACUUGCAGCUCAGGAGCUUUUGUGCUGUGAGAGGCAGGGUAAGAUACAUGGGGUGACAG
rnacentral:lncRNA from 1 species